GAUGAAGAACGUAGCGAACUGCGAUAAGUAAUGUGAAUUGCAGAAUUCAGUGAAUCAUCGAGUCUUUGAACGCACAUUGCGCCCCCUGACAUUCCGGGGGGCAUGCCUGUCCGAGCGUCAUUGCUGCCCUUCAAGCCCGGCUUGUGUGUUGGGUCGUCGUCCCCCCCGGGGGACGGGCCCGAAAGGCAGCGGCGGCACCGCGUCCGGUCCUCGAGCGUAUGGGGCUUUGUCACCCGCUCGAUUAGGGCCGGCCGGGCGCCAGCCGGCGUCUCCAACCUUCUAUUUUACCAGGUUGACCUCGGAUCAGGUAGGGAUACCCGCUGAACUUAAGCAUAUCAAUAAGCGGAGGA
rnacentral:misc_RNA from 1 species